rnacentral:rRNA from 1 species
AAUCAACGCUGGCGGCGUGCCUAACACAUGCAAGUCGAACGCGAAAGUCCCGCAAGGGAUGAGUAGAGUGGCAAACGGGUGAGUAACGCGUGGGUGACCUGCCUUCGAGCGGGGGAUAACGCUCCGAAAGGGACGCUAAUACCGCACAACAUCCCGCCUUUGAACAGGCGGAAAUCAAAGCUGGGGAUCGCAAGACCCAGCACUUGAAGAGGGGCCCGCGUCUGAUUAGCUAGUUGGUGAGGUAACGGCUCACCAAGGCGACGAUCAGUAUCCGGCCUGAGAGGGCGGACGGACACACUGGGACUGAGACACGGCCCAGACUCCUACGGGAGGCAGCAGUGGGGAAUUGUUCGCAAUGGGCGCAAGCCUGACGACGCAACGCCGCGUGGAGGAUGAAGACCUU